CAUGCGGAUCUCUUGCAGAGGCAUCACAAUUUAAGUGCUCUAAUAUUGGCGGCGCAAAUCUACAGCCAAAAAAAAAAAGGCCCAUUUGAGAAUAUAUACGCCCCAGCAUUGACUUCGCCUCUCGUACACCUUGACCCGACAUUUCCAAAUGAGCGCAAGGUUAUAUAAAAGCGCAAAACCAUUGUGUUUCUCGCCACAAGCAAGCUGCGCGAACAGCGCGGCAGCCUUUUCGAUCAUAGGAAGAAGUGCCGCGGUGCGGAGAAAAGAGCGGGCCACGCCCACCUCUGGAAACACGCUCUCUCACGGUCGGAGAAACACACGCCGCGCGCCCGAGAUCUCGGAGGCCAUGGCUAGAGUGUACUAGAAGCUUAGUUCUAGUACACUCUACCACA
rnacentral:lncRNA from 1 species